AGUGAACGCUGGCGGUAGGCCUAACACAUGCAAGUCGAACGGCAGCACAGUAAGAGCUUGCUCUUACGGGUGGCGAGUGGCGGACGGGUGAGGAAUACAUCGGAAUCUACUUUUUCGUGGGGGAUAACGUAGGGAAACUUACGCUAAUACCGCAUACGACCUACGGGUGAAAGCAGGGGAUCUUCGGACCUUGCGCGAUUGAAUGAGCCGAUGUCGGAUUAGCUAGUUGGCGGGGUAAAGGCCCACCAAGGCGACGAUCCGUAGCUGGUCUGAGAGGAUGAUCGGCAACACUGAAACUGAGACACGGUCCAGCCUCCUAGGGGAGGCAGCAGUGGGGAAUAUUGGACAAUGGGCGCAAGCCUGAUCCAGCCAUACGGCGUGGGUGAAGAAGGCCUUCGGGUGGUAAAGCCCUUUUGUUGGGAAAGAAAAGCGGCAGGUUAAUACCCCGCUGUUCUGACGGUACCCAAAGAAUAAGCACCGGCUACCUUCGU
rnacentral:rRNA from 1 species